rnacentral:rRNA from 1 species
CCACGUAGUUGGCGCGUCCCAGUCAGSGGUGGGUKUGUUUCGGGCACUCACGGGACCCGUCUUGAAACACGGACCAAGGAGUCUAGCAUGUGCGNGAGUCASUGGGACAUUUCRAMCUAGACCCACGGGCGCAAUGAAAGUGAACUGGCGGGCCUCGCGCCCGCCGGAGGGAGGAUGCGCRWGCGGCCGCKAACGCUCGGCCGCCGCSCCSCAUUCCCGAGGCGUUUCGAGAAAGCCCCGCAAGGGCGCGAUUAUCGGGACGCANNGCGAGCGUACACGCUGGGACCCGAAAGAUGGUGAACUAUGCCUGGUCAGGUCGAAGUCAGGGGAAACCCAAGACUAAUCGAACUAUCUAAUAGCUGGUUCCAUCCGAAGUUUCCCUCAGGAUAGCUGGCGCUCGAGAAACAUGCGGCGCGUUCGCGCGCGCGCAUUCGAACAGUCUCAUCCGGUAAAGCGAAUGAUUAGAGGCAUUGGGGCCGAAAUGGCCUCAACCUAUUCUCAAACUUUAAAUGGGUGAGAUCUCCGUCUUGCUCGAAGAUGAAGUCGGAGCUCGGAUGGGAGUGCCAAGUGGGCCAAUUUUGGUAAGCAGAACUGGCGCUGUGGGAUGAACCAAACGUCGAGUUAAGGCGCCCAAUGGACGCUCAUCGGAGACCAUAAAAGGCGUUGGUCGCUCAGGACAGCAGGACGGUGGCCAUGGAAGUCGGAAUCCGCUAAGGAGUGUGUAACAACUCACCUGCCGAAGCAACCAGCCCUGAAAAUGGAUGGCGCUGUAGCGUUCAGCCUAUACUCGACCGUCGCAGGCAAGGGGGGCGACCCCGGCGUCCCGUUCGCGCGGGGCCCGGUCCGGUCGCCUUGAGGCCGCGACGAGUAGGAUGGCCGCGGCGGUGUGCGCAGAAGGGUCUGGGCGUGAGCCCGCCUGGAGCCUCCGUCGGCGCAGAUCUUGGUGGUAGUAGCAAAUACUCAAGCGAGGUCCUUGAGGGCUGAUGUGGAGAAGGGUUUCGCGUUAACAGCCGUUGCACGCGAGUUAGUCGAUCCUAAGCCCUAGGAGAGAUCCGAUGUUGAUGAUGGUGUAAAGUUAUACUACUUGUACGUAUAUACAGAAGUACACCCGUCGGGCGAAAGGGAAUCCGGUUGCAGUUCCGGAACCCGGCUGCGGAACCGUCUUAAAAAUCGUUCCCUCGUCAGAGAGUUCGUCGGGGUGACCCAAAGUGGCCUGAAGACGCCGACGGGAGAUCCGGAGAGAGUUAUCUUUUCUGCCUGAGCGUUCGAGCGCCCUGGAAUCCUAUAGCGGGGAGAUAGGGCUCGGGACGCGAAGAG